rnacentral:rRNA from 1 species
CCAGACUCCUACGGGAGGCAGCAGUGGGGAAUAUUGCACAAUGGGGGAAACCCUGAUGCAGCGACGCCGCGUGGGCGACGAAGCGCUCCGGCGCGUAAAGCCCUGUCAGCAGGGAAGAACAAAGACAGUACCUGACCAAGAAGCCCCGGCUAACUACGUGCCAGCAGCCGCGGUAAUACGUAGGGGGCAAGCGUUACUCGGAAUCACUGGGCGUAAAGAGCGCGUGGGCGGGAUAGCAAGUCAGAUGUGAAAUCCUAUGGCUUAACCAUAGAACUGCAUUUGAAACUGUUAUUCUAGAGUAUGGGAGAGGUAGGUGGAAUUCUUGGUGUAGGGGUAAAAUCCGUAGAGAUCAAGAGGAAUACUCAUUGCGAAGGCGACCUGCUAGAACAUAACUGACGCUGAUGCGCGAAAGCGUGGGGAGCAAACAGGAUUAGAUACCCCUGUAGAA